AGUAACGGCGAGUGAAGCGGCAAUAGCUCAAAUUUGAAAUCUGGCUCUUUUAGGGUCCGAGUUGUAAUUUGCAGAGGGCGCUUUGGCGUUGGCAGCGGUCCAAGUUCUUUGGAACAGGACGUCACAGAGGGUGAGAAUCCCGUACGUGGUCGCUAUCCUUCGCCGUGUAAAGCCCCUUCGACGAGUCGAGUUGUUUGGGAAUGCAGCUCUAAAUGGGAGGUAAAUUUCUUCUAAAGCUAAAUACUGGCCAGAGACCGAUAGCGCACAAGUAGAGUGAUCGAAAGAUGAAAAGCACUUUGGAAAGAGAGUCAAAUAGCACGUGAAAUUGUUGAAAGGGAAGCGCUUGCAGCCAGACUUGCCUGUAGUUGCUUAUCCAGACUUUUGUCUGGUGCACUCUUCUGCGGGCAGGCCAGCAUCAGUUUGGGCGGUUAGAUAAAGGUCUCUGUCAUGUACCUCUCUUCGGGGAGGCCUUAUAGGGGAGACGACAUGUAACCAGCCUGGACUGAGGUCCGCGCAUCUGCUAGGAUGCUGGCGUAAUGGCUGUAAGCGGCCCGUCUUGAAACACGGACCAAGGAGUCUAACAUCUAUGCGAGUGUUUGGGUGUCAAGCCCAGACGCGUAAUGAAAGUGAACGGAGGUAAGAACCCUUUGGGUGCAUUAUCGACCGAUCCUGAUGUCUUCGGAAGGAUUUGAGUAAGAGCAUGGCUGUUGGGACCCGAAAGAUGGUGAACUAUGCUUGAAUAGGGUGAAGCCAGAGGAAACUCUGGUGGAGGCUCGCAGCGGUUCUGACGUGCAAAUCGAUCGUCAAAUUUGGGCAUAGGGGCGAAAGAC
rnacentral:rRNA from 2 species